GCUGGUUUGCCCGAGAGGUUAAGGGGGAAGACUUAUUUCUUCUGCACAUCAGUGCACAUGGGUUCGAAUCCCAUAGCCAACA
rnacentral:tRNA from 1 species